UACAGAGGUGGCAAGCGUUGUUCGGAAUUACUGGGCGUAAAGGGCGCGUAGGCGGCCUUGUAAGUCCCGUGUGAAAUCCCUCGGCUCAACUGAGGAACUGCACGGGAAACUGCUUGGCUUGAGUUCGGGAGAGGGAAGCGGGAAUUCCGGGUGUAGCGGUGAAAUGCGUAGAUAUCUGGAGGAACACCGGUGGCGAAGGCGGCAUCCUGGACCGGUAUUGACGCUGAGGCGCGAAAGCCAGGGGAGCAAAGCGGG
rnacentral:rRNA from 1 species